UGUGUAUCAGUACAUGGCAUAUCAAUAAGCGGAGGAAAAGAAACUAACUAGGAUUCCCUUAGUAACGGCGAGUGAAGCGGGAAGAGCUCAAAUUUGAAAUCUUCAAGGUUCUACCUUGACGAAUUGUAGUUUAAAGAAGUGUUUUCUGUUGGAGUUUUGGUAAAAGUUCUUUGGAAUAGGACAUCAUAGAGGGUGAGAAUCCCGUAUUUGACCGUUACUUUCCAGCUGUGUGAUACACUUUCAAAGAGUCGGAUUGUUUGGGAAUGCAGUCCAAGAUGGGUGGUAAAUUUCAUCUAAAGCUAAAUAUUGGCGAGAGACCGAUAGCGAACAAGUACCGUGAGGGAAAGAUGAAAAGAACUUUGAAAAGAGAGUUAAACAGUACGUGAAAUUGUCAAAAGGGAAGCGUUUGACACCAGUGUUGUUUUUCCGAAAAUCAAUUAUGAAUGGCUUGAUUUUAAGUUUCAUGACCUUAAAAGCUUGUUGCUUAUUUUUCAUGUCUUUCGUAAUGCACUUUUCGGUUAACAAGUCAACAUCAAUUUCUCUUGUUGUAAAAGGUUAAGAGGAAGGUGGCCUUUACUUUCGGGUAAAGUGUUUAUAGCCUUUUAACUCUGCAAUCGGAGAGAUUGAGGUCUGCAGCGUAGAUCCUUCGGGGUUAGAUACAUUUGUGCUAAGUUAUAGCUUUUCAUAGACAACUUGUUGACUAUGUUAAGUCUUGUAAUUUACUCGCAGAUGCUAUUUUACCUACGCUUAGGAUGUUGACAGCAGUAUAGACUGU
rnacentral:rRNA from 1 species